CUUGGGGUGGGGUCCCUUAGCCAGGAUUGCUAAAGGGCACAGGCCAGGCUGAGGGACUCCACCAGUGCACA
rnacentral:pre_miRNA from 1 species